rnacentral:rRNA from 1 species
GAUGAACGCUGGCGGCGUGCUUAACACAUGCAAGUCGAACGAAGCACUUUGAAAGCUUGCUUUCGAAGUGACUGAGUGGCGGACGGGUGAGUAACGCGUGGAUAACCUGCCUCACACAGGGGGAUAACAGUUAGAAAUGACUGCUAAUACCGCAUAAGCCCACGGUACCGCAUGGUACAGAGGGAAAAGAUUUUAUCGGUGUGAGAUGGAUCCGCGUCUGAUUAGCUAGUUGGUAAGGUAACGGCUUACCAAGGCGACGAUCAGUAGCCGACCUGAGAGGGUGACCGGCAACAUUGGGACUGAGACACGGCCCAAACUCCUACGGGAGGCAGCAGUGGGGAAUAUUGGACAAUGGGCGCAAGCCUGAUCCAGCGACGCCGCGUGAGCGAUGAAGUAUUUCGGUAUGUAAAGCUCUAUCAGCAGGGAAGAUAAUGACGGUACCUGACUAAGAAGCACCGGCUAAAUACGUGCCAGCCGCCGCCGUAAGAC